rnacentral:rRNA from 1 species
AGGAAUCUGCCUAUUAGUGGGGGACAACAUCUCGAAAGGGAUGCUAAUACCGCAUACGUCCUACGGGAGAAAGCAGGGGACCUUCGGGCCUUGCGCUAAUAGAUGAGCCUAAGUCGGAUUAGCCAGUUGGUGGGGUAAAGGCCUACCAAGGCGACGAUCUGUAGCGGGUCUGAGAGGAUGAUCCGCCACACUGGGACUGAGACACGGCCCAGACUCCUACGGGAGGCAGCAGUGGGGAAUAUUGGACAAUGGGGGGAACCCUGAUCCAGCCAUGCCGCGUGUGUGAAGAAGGCCUUUUGGUUGUAAAGCACUUUAAGCGAGGAGGAGGCUACCGAGAUUAAUACUCUUGGAUAGUGGACGUUACUCGCAGAAUAAGCACCGGCUAACUCUGUGCCAGCAGCCGCGGUAAUACAGAGGGUGCAAGCGCUAAUCGGAUUUACUGGGCGUAAAGCGCGCGUAGGUGGCCAAUUAAGUCAAAUGUGAAAUCCCCGAGCUUAACUUGGGAAUUGCAUUCGAUACUGGUUGGCUAGAGUAUGGGAGAGGAUGGUAGAAUUCCAGGU